rnacentral:misc_RNA from 1 species
UCUCCGUUGGUGAACCAGCGGAGGGGUCAUUAUAGAGUUUUCUAAACUCCCAACCCAUGUGAACUUACCUUUUGUUGCCUCGGCAGGAGUUAUAGGUUACCCUGUAGCUGCUGCCGGUGGACCAAUAAACUCUUGUUAUUUUAUGUAAUCUGAGCGUCUUAUUUUAAUAAGUCAAAACUUUCAACAACGGAUCUCUUGGUUCUGGCAUCGAUGAAGAACGCAGC